GAUGAACGCUGGCGGCGUGCUUAACACAUGCAAGUCGAACGGUGAAGGCGGAGCUUGCUCUGCUGGAUCAGUGGCGAACGGGUGAGUACACGUGAGCAAUCUGCCCCUGACUCUGGGAUAAGCGCUGGAAACGGCGUCUAAUACUGGAUACGAGCUGCGAAGGCAUCUUCAGCAGCUGGAAAGAACUUCGGUCAGGGAUGAGCUCGCGGCCUAUCAGCUUGUUGGUGAGGUAACGGCUCACCAAGGCGUCGACGGGUAGCCGGCCUGAGAGGGUGACCGGCCACACUGGGACUGAGACACGGCCCAGACUCCUACGGGAGGCAGCAGUGGGGAAUAUUGCACAAUGGGCGAAAGCCUGAUGCAGCAACGCCGCGUGAGGGACGACGGCCUUCGGGUUGUAAACCUCUUUUAGCAGGGAAGAAGCGAAAGUGACGGUACCUGCAGAAAAAGCGCCGGCUAACUACGUG
rnacentral:rRNA from 1 species